UGGGGAAUAUUGCACAAUGGGCGCAAGCCUGAUGCAGCCAUGCCGCGUGUGUGAAGAAGGCCUUCGGGUUGUAAAGUACUUUCAGUCGGGAGGAAGGUGGUAAGGUUAAUAACCUUAUCAAUUGACGUUACCGACAGAAGAAGCACCGGCUAACUCCGUGCCAGCAGCCGCGGUAAUACGGAGGGUGCAAGCGUUAAUCGGAAUUACUGGGCGUAAAGCGCACGCAGGCGGUUGAUUGAGUCAGAUGUGAAAUCCCCGGGCUUAACCCGGGAAUUGCAUCUGAUACUGGUCAGCUAGAGUCUUGUAGAGGGGGGUAGAAUUCCAUGUGUAGCGGUGAAAUGCGUAGAGAUGUGGAGGAAUACCGGUGGCGAAGGCGGUCCCCUGGACAAAGACUGACGCUCAGGUGCGAAAGCGUGGGGAGCAAACAGG
rnacentral:rRNA from 1 species